rnacentral:rRNA from 1 species
CCUACGGGAGGCAGCAGUGGGGAAUAUUGGACAAUGGGCGAAAGCCUGAUCCAGCCAUGCCGCGUGUGUGAAGAAGGCCUUCGGGUUGUAAAGCACUUUCAGUGGGGAAGAAAGCCUUGGGGCUAAUACCCUCGAGGAAGGACAUCACCCACAGAAGAAGCACCGGCUAACUCCGUGCCAGCAGCCGCGGUAAUACGGGGGGUGCGAGCGUUAAUCGGAAUUACUGGGCGUAAAGCGCGCGUAGGCGGUCUGAUAAGCCGGUUGUGAAAGCCCCGGGCUCAACCUGGGAACGGCAUCCGGAACUGUCAGGCUAGAGUGCAGGAGAGGAAGGUAGAAUUCCCGGUGUAGCGGUGAAAUGCGUAGAGAUCGGGAGGAAUACCAGUGGCGAAGGCGGCCUUCUGGACUGACACUGACGCUGAGGUGCGAAAGCGUGGGUAGCAAACAGGAUUAGAUACCCCAGAGUC